AGAGUUUGAUCCUGGCUCAGGAUGAACUCUAGCGGCAGGCCUAAUACAUGCAAGUCGAACGGUAAAUGCCCCUUCGGGGGUAUGAGAGUGGCGCACGGGUGCGUAACGCGUAUGCAACCCACCCGCUGCCGGGGGAUAGCCCGGAGAAAUUCGGAUUAAUACCCCAUGAGGAGUUUGAGCGGCAUCGCUUGAAUUUCAAAACUUCGGUGGCGGCGGACGGGCAUGCGUGCCAUUAGAUAGUUGGCGGGGUAACGGCCCACCAAGUCGACGAUGGCUAGGGGAUCUGAGAGGACGGUCCCCCACACUGGUACUGAGACACGGACCAGACUCCUACGGGAGGCAGCAGUAAGGGAUAUUGGUCAAUGGGGGGAACCCUGAACCAGCCAUGCCGCGUGAGGGAGGAAGGCCCUACGGGUCGUAAACCUCUUUUGCCGGGGGAUAAGGACACCUACGUGUAGGUGUUUGAAGGUACCCGGAGAAUAAGCAUCGGCUAACUCCGUGCCAGCAGCCGCGGUAAUACGGAGGAUGCGAGCGUUAUCCGGAUUUAUUGGGUUUAAAGGGUGCGCAGGCGGGCGAUUAAGUCAGCGGUGAAAUGCCCGUGCUUAACGCGGGAGCUGCCGUUGAUACUGUCAUGCUUGAAUACUGUUGCCGUGGGAGGAAUGAGUAGUGUAGCGGUGAAAUGCAUAGAUAUUACUCAGAACACCGAUUGCGAAGGCAUCUCACGAAGCAGCGAUUGACGCUGAGGCACGAAAGCGUGGGGAUCAAACAGGAUUAGAUACCCUGGUAGUCCACGCAGUAAACGAUGAUGACUAACCGUCGGCGAUAGACAGUCGGUGGCCAAGCGAAAGCGAUAAGUCAUCCACCUGGGGAGUACGACCGCAAGGUUGAAACUCAAAGGAAUUGACGGGGGCCCGCACAAACAGUGGAUUAUGUGGUUUAAUUCGACGCAACGCGAAGAACCUUACCAGGUCUUGACAUCGUGCGCAUAGUCUAGAGAUAGAUGAAGUCCUUCGGGACGCACAGACAGAUGGUGCAUGGUUGUCGUCAGCUCGUGUCGUGAGAUGUUGGGUUAAGUCCCGCAACGAGCGCAACCCUUGCUGUUAGUUGCUACGCAAGAGCACUCUAACAGGACUGCCGUUGACAAAACGGAGGAAGGUGGGGAUGACGUCAAAUCAUCAUGCCUCUUACGACCUGGGCCACACACGUACUACAAUGGCCGACAACAGAGGGAAGCAAAAUCGCGAGGUGGAGCAAAACCCUAAAAUCGGUCUCAGUUCGGAUUGUAGGCUGCAACCCGCCUACAUGAAGCCGGAAUUGCUAGUAAUCGCAGAUCAGCAUGCUGCGGUGAAUACGUUCCCGGGCCUUGCACACACCGCCCGUCAAG
rnacentral:rRNA from 1 species